CGUGUGCGCGAGUCAUUGGGUGUUAAAACCUAAAGGCGUAAUGAAAGUGAAGGAAACUCCGCUUCCCGAGGGAGGAUGGGUUAGGUUCCUAUUCAGGGCCGGCCUCGCACUCCCGGGGCGUCUCUAUCUCAUCACGAGAGGAGGCGCACCUAGAGCUGUACACUGCUGAUACCCGAAAGAUGGUGAACUAUGCCUGGCCAGGACGAAGCCAGGGGAAACCCUGGUGGAGGUCCGCAGCGAUUCUGACGUGCAAAUCGAUCGUCGGAGCUGGGUUUAGGGGCGAAAGACCAAUCGAACCAUCUAGUAGCUGGUUCCCUCUGAAGUUUCCCUCAGGAUAGCUUGCGCUCGGAUGGAACGAGUCUCAUCCGGUAGAGCGAAUGAUUAGAGGCCUUGGGGUCGAAACGACCUCAACCUAUUCUCAAACUCCAAAUAGAUGAGAACCCCGGCUUUCUUGAACUUUGUUUAUGAAGCCGGGGGCUCGGAUCAGAGUGCCAAGUGGGCCAAUUUU
rnacentral:rRNA from 1 species